AAGUUUCCUGAGGCCUCCCCAGCCAUAAGAAACUCCAAAGCCAGGCAUCCCAUCUGGAGAGAGAGAAGACUGAAGCAGAAACACAAUGGGAAGGAAGCAAAGAUGGAGGUAGAAUAGCUGCCACGAGCCCUGAUAGUUUCAGGCCUUGACUGCAUGUCCUUAGGAUCUCAGGCUUCUCUGUUUUUCCUUUGGGUUCCAUGAAAAACCCCGAUAUUUUGGUAAUAAACACCCUUGGGUUGCUUUGCCUGGCUUGAAGAUUUUGCUUACAAACUAAAGAACUGUGGACAAGAUACACUUCUUGUCUCAAGAGGGCCUGUAUAUUUUAGGAUUUAACUGCGUGUACAUGGAAAGAAAGGUCAGGAACGUUGGUUUUACCUCUCUUCUCGAUGAGAACAGCACUGGGCUCCCAAUCACUACUUAACCUUUAUCCUGCAAGUUCUAGUUUUUAAAAUAAUUGAAAAGUUAGAAAAGUAAUAUAGGAUUUUACUUUUGGAAAGUAUUGAACCUAAUGAGAAUGUUUUAAAUUUAAAAUGUAUGUUUUCAGGACCUCCUGGCUUGGUGACUUUGGACAAGUCACUUAAUUGUUUUAAGCCUCUGUUUUUUCAUAUCUAAAAUGGGGUUGAUAACAGUGCUGUCACAAAGGACUGUUGAGGGCAUUUACUAGAAAAUUGUGUCUGCUAGGCACAGUACAGGGCCUGGCACAUGGCUCGCAGAUCUAUCAGUUAGAACCGAAUAUUGCAAGUGAGAGGAAACUCCAAUAUUGGCUUUAACAACACAAUAACUAUCCUGGUGCACGUAGGUGAAAAGGGCGGAGUUAUGACAGGCUUCAGAUGAGGUUUUACCGGAGAUGUAGUUUCUCCAUUCUGCCUUUUGCAAUGUCAUCUUCAUCCUCAGGAUGCAUCCCAUGGUCUUUUGGCAGAUCUGGGCUCUCCCUACUUAGUAGCAAAUCAGAUACAACAGUUCCAACUGUCACAUCCUUAUGCACACUAUGCUUUAGCUCAGGAGAGGGGUGCAUCAUUUCAAACUAGCCUUACCAAAAACUUCACUGGCUCUGAUUAGAUUCCUUAUCACCUCAAGCAUUGUAGGCAGGAGGCGGAAUGGAAUUCACUUAUUGGAUUACUAGCAUCCAGUUCUGGCAUAGGGAUGGUGAAAGGAAUAGGUCCCUAAGGGUGGCUCAUGCCUGUAAUCCCAGCAUUUUGGGAGGCUGAGGCAGGCAGAUCACCUGAGGUCGGGAGUUCGAGACCAGCCUGACCAACAUGGAGAAACCCCGUCUCUACUAAAAGUACAAAAAUUAGUCAGGCAUGGUGGCACAUGCCUGUAAUCCCAGCUGCUAGGGAGGCUGAGACAGGAGAAUCACUUGAACCCAGGAGGUGGAGGUUGCGGUGAGCCGAGAUUGUGCCAUUUCACUCCAGCCUGGGCAACAAGAGAGAAACUACAUCUCAAAAAAAAAAAAAAAAAAAAAAAAAGAGAAGAAAAUAUAAGGAACUCUUUCCAGAAGUAAAGAGAAUAGAUUUGAGGCAGUUGUCUUCUACAGUGCAAAACAUUCAAGAAAUGUACCUUUCUUUCACCUUAAAAAGAUUUUUUUAAGAACCCAUACAAAAUAGUAUAUUAUUUUAUCCAGUAUUAUAAUUAUGCAUGAGCUACUACAAUUGCUGCAUACAUUUUUGUGAGUUUAUGUCUGAAUGUGAUUUUUACAAUUGGAUCUUAAGAAAUGUCUUAUUCUUAACCCAAAGGUCGAUCUGAACAAAUCUUUCUUUGUAUUUUAUUUGCCUUUAAAAAAUUCUUUUAUGGGGGCUCUACUCUUCAGAGUCUGCUAAGGAAAUGAGAUUUUGGCAAUGUUUUAAUUCAAAAAAAGAACUCCUAGUUUUACUGUGCUGGAUCUGGUUGUCUUUAGUUUCCAUUAUAUUCCUGUUCCAUUAUUCCUUCAAUAACUUUGUUCUCCCAUGACUCUUCUUUAUUGUUACCACAUUUUUUCUGUUCUUUUCAGAGAUGAGUUUUUGGAUUCAACUGAAGCCCUUGCUAUCUGCUAGAGUCAGAGUCAUCACAAUUGGGGGGUCUUCAUUAAGCUACACUUUUUAAUGGAACAUCCUAGUGAGGUUUGAGAGUACAGCUUUAUGGUCUAUAUUACAUUACUAAGCCGAUUUUAUUGGGUUAGUCUAUACGUUUUACAAAUUUGUUAUUCUAAUCUCCCCGAAGAAAUAAUUUCCUUAUUGAUCCCUUUCUUUUUCCCCCAUUUUAUUUUCCCAUAUUUUGUGAUAUCCUCUACUUCAACUUUAAAAAAUUAUAACCAUAGAAAGAAAUACAUUUUACAUUAUGACCCAGUGUGUAUACUCACAGAAACAUAUUCAUAUAGAAAACAAGUUUCACGAAACAAUACUUCCUCUGUACAGUGCACUUUGGUGUUGUUAUUGUGUUCUAUUCUAUUCAUUUUCUUCCAUCCUACUAUGUUAUAAAAGUUGCUCUUUUACAAAUCUGUAAUUUGAUCUUAUGACCCACUGACAUGUCUCAACAUACCAUUUGAAAAUUAUUGCUAAACUGUACUUUCUCACUAGUGAUAUUGUACAUCCAGGGUUUAUGAUUGUGUUCAAGAGAAUUCUUGUCUUUGUAAGGCAAAAAUGGCAAAUAUGUCUAUUUCCAUCUAAAAGAGCAUUAUACAAAAUAAAAUUAUUAAGAGUUUCCACUUAAUAGCUGCACUGUUUAGAGCCCACUGGAAGCACAUCAAGUGAGUAUGCAUGCCAAUUAAUGAAAACCAGAUAAAUUAUAUGAUUCAGUUACUCAUUUUGUUAACUACCCAACACAGUGAUGAUGAACACCUUGAUUGUUUUGACUGUUAUGAAGUAAUUUCUGCACAUCUGCCUCACCAGAUCCAUAAUUUACAUUCAGCUCCCUCACCAGAUCCAUAAUUUACAUUCAUCUCAUUAUAUGAGGCAUCAUGAUUACCACUAAUACAUUAAAAACCAACUUAUAAAAGAAAAUAAAAUUUUAAAUUGUAUUCAGUUUAUAUUUUAUUUACUGGGACUAAACACUUCAUAGCAACAAUGUGUUAUUUUUGAGAAGUGUCUAUACAUAGUAGUGUAAACAUUUAUUUUAAUUAUCAUUAAGAAUCAAAAAAUGAAGAGUAUCUAAAUAAUCCAAUUGAUAUUUUAAGGAAUAAAAAUAUAAGAAUUACAAACAUCAGAUCAUGAAGUUAGUUUUGGUCCAUUUUUGAUUCCACAACACAUUGUUAAAAUGUCAAUGAAAAUAUUAAUAUUCAUUUGGUAUAAGACCAAACAAAAGUAAUUUAUAAAUACAUUUUCUUUUAUUUACAUAUUUAAAUGAAAGGGACUAUCACCUUUAAAAUGGGAAAAGCCUAAAUAUCUCUUUCUUUCUGCCUCUUCCUCCCAUCCUUCUACCCUUCUGUCCUCCAUCUCCAUCUGUUUAUGUACAAAGAAGUUAACUGGCCUAUUCUACACCUCUUGAAAGAUGUAUGAACCAUCAUUUGUUUAUUUAAAUGAGUCCUUGGUAGUUCUAACCCUGGAACAUAUUCUACAGAGUUGCCAGUGCAAAAUAUAGCACAAUGACUCAUCAGCACCUAAAAUUUGUAGCAUCUGCUUGGUGAAUUUUGAUUUGAAACUCGUACUUGAUAUUGUGUUUCUUUUCUGUUCACCAUGUGUUAAUAUGUGUGGUGUAUUUUCCUCCAUAAGCAGUUAACAGUUUCUAAUGUGGAUACUUCAGUUUCAGGGAUGAUUGCCCAUCUCCCUGAGGUGCCCAUUAGGGUGCCCCAAUGAAUCCCAUAGUGUUGUAUAGUUUGCAUUUUAAUUCAGCUAAUCCAAAACACGUUCUCCAAAUUCGGUGAAAGUCUGUUCAGAUAUUUCUUUUAUGAUGUUGAAGUCAAUAAUUUUAUUUAAGUUACCUGUAAGAUAAUAGACUUUAGGUAUUAUAUAAAUUAAUUACAUAAAAUGAUCUUAAAUAAUAUGCUGACAUAAUUUUUUUUACUUAAAACUCUUGUUUUGUCCUAUGUAAUUCAAAAGUAACAAAAUGAUUUAAAAAUUCUGUUUUUUCAAUCCUUUAUUAUUAUUCAAGAGUUUGAGUGUCAAAGUCAGUCUACACUUCUGUAAAGAAAUAUAAAAAUCAGUGGUGUAUUUGGCUACAGGUAAUCUGUUCUUGGCUCCAACAUUACUAAACAGAUGACUGGAUGUGUGUGUGUGUGUGUGUGUGUGUGUGUGUGUGUGUGUGUGUCUAGAAGCUGAGGCUAACAGGAGAGGGUAAUUGCCCAUAAAAGUGAAAUAAAAAGCCAAAAUUCUUCUCUUAAGCUUAAGCUUUUUCCCUCCUUAGCAUUACUUCAUAAGAAAUGUAGCAGUGGAAACAUAAGGUUGGCAUGUUUAGAAAAUUCAAUCAUAAAUAAAAACAUUGUGUGAACUGGUUUUUAGUUUUGAAUUAACCUGGGCAAAUUCAGCUGGUUACUCCUUUUCCCUUUUUCCCAGUUUUCAAAGUUAAAAAAUUUAUGACUCUCAGGCAAAGAUAGUGUGAACUCAUGUCAAAGAUUUUAUUUAACUUAAUCCAUGAGGGAACCCAUAAAAUGUUAAAACUUGUAUAAGAAUUUGAGAAGCUACACACACACACAUACACACACAUGCACACACACACACUCUCACACAUUUCAUAAAAGAAUAUUAGGAUAAGAUUUCUCGAUACAAAACUGUUACCUUUGGGGUUAUCUCUCCGCCAGAAAGAACUUGUUUGCAUCCCUGCUAGACAAAAACCUACAAGUUAACCUUUGCCCGUAUGGAGUUGUAAAACAGACCAGUUGAUAGAAAGAGAAGCCUGCUUCCCGAAGCCCUCAGCAGAAGCCGAGCAGAUGUUGGCACCAUGCUUCUUGUACAGCCUGCAGAACUUGAAGAAACACUCCAUAUUAGUUUUCUGGAGCCAUCGUUAUGAAGCAACACAGACUGGGUGGCAUAAACAAUGGAGAUUUAUUUUUUCACAAUUCCGGAGGCUAGAAGUUUGAGAUCAAGGUGUUGGAAAGUGUCUCAGGAUGAUACAUACCGGUUUUUAACUUUGGUGUCAUCAAAUGCAAUUGCAAUGUGACUGUUUCUUGAAAGCCCGAACUGCUUGCUCCCUAUCAAAAGAGCUGGUUCUGAUUCUGCAGCACAAGGACCCUGUAAAAUACCCAGGAGAGAAAAACAGGAGAUUAUGGACUGUUCUUUAAAAAGUGCAAGGAGCACAUUGCUCAACCAAUUCCAUCGUGGACACUAAGGAAGAGAAUGAGAUAUUCAAGAGUUUUCAAGAUCUGCACUCAAGACAACAUUGCCCACCCAUUACUGGUAUGGAAUAUAACCACAACACAUGAGCUGUAAAGAGUGUAGUGACUGUGACCAUCUUUGUUGUAUUGGUGAUAAGAAUGUAAAUUGGCAUAGCCUGUGGAAGAAACAAUUCAGGUAUGUGUAUUGAAAACCUUAGACAUAUUCAUCUUUUGGCCUUAUAAUUUCCUAACUACUUAUCUAUUUUAAGAAUAACUGGAAAUAAUGAAAAAGCUUGAUGCAUAGAGGAGCUCAUCAGAGUAUAGUUUCUAAUAGUGAAAAACUGGAAACACUCUCAAUAGCCUACCAUGGUCUAUUAAAAGUAGAAUAAAUUGGAAAGGCAGAGUGUUCCAGAGAUAAGGAGUCAGACUUUGGAGUCUGACUCGCUAGAAUAAAAUUCUUACUCUGCCUUUUACUAGUGGUGUGAGUGGGUUGGUUGCUUAAGAUAGCUAAUUCUUAUUAACUCGACUAAAAGUAGAAAGACUAUAUUUUACAGAGCCGUUAUGAGAAUUACAUAUAAUAUUGAAUGAAAAUUGUUUAGCCCUGGGCUGGUGAAAGUACUCAUUAUUAUCAUUACUACAUAGUACUUAUGCCAUUUAUUAAACGUUCAGUAUAUGUGAGUCAUUGAACAAACAUUAUCUUUUAAAACUCUGAUACAAAGUCUUUGAUGUCUGUGCUGUUAAUAUCCUCAUUUGACAGAUGAGGAAACAGAAAUAGUCUAUGGCCAAAUCACCCUGAAAGCAUCCGAUCUUUUCUGAUCUCAAAAGCUAAGCAGGGUUGGGCCCGGUUAGUACUUGGAUGGGAAACUGAGAAAUAGAUUGGACAGGUAGCUUUCCCAAAUUCACACAGAUGGUCGGUUACAGUGCUGGGAUUUGAAUACCAGCAGUCUGACUUGAGCCCAUGCUCUAAUCAAGGCUAUAUGACCUCCAAUACUAUAAAAUAGUUGUGUGUCUCUGUGUGUAUAUAUACUUAACAUAAAAUCAUAUUAGACAUACACAUUUAUAUGAUGUUUAGAUACAGUUUUUAUUUAUUUAUUUAUUUUUAUUUUUUGGAGAUGGAGUCUCGCUCUGUUGCCCA
rnacentral:lncRNA from 1 species